rnacentral:sRNA from 1 species
AGUUUUUCUGGAGAAAGUAUUCUUUCUCCUGUUGAUUUGAUGAAGCAUACUUCUUCUUCACAGGUUUCAUGGGGAAGGGUAUCGGGAAGGCUAUGAAGAAGGCAGUAGUUUGGGUGUGAUGGAGGGAAGGCAGCAUGGCACGCUGCAUGGAGCCAAAAUCGGGUCUGAGGUAAGUGGGAACCCCCAUCUGGAGAUGAAGCCUCUUCAUUUACAAUUUAUAAUUUAUUUCGAUAUUCAGUGUGAUGGAGUAAGAAUUGUCAGGCCUUUUAAAAUCACAGUGCCGGAUGGGCGCUGUGACUCACACCUGUAAUCCCAGCACUUUGGGAGUCUGAGGUGGGCGGAUCGCCUUGAGGUCAGGAGUUGGAGACCAGCCUGACCGACAUGGUGAAACACUGUCUCUACUGAAAAUACUGAAUUAGCUGGGCAUGGUGGUUUAUGCCUGUAAUCCCAGCCACUUGGGAGGCUGAGGUAUGAGACUCGCUUGAACCUGGGAGGCGGAGGUUGUGGUGAGCCGGGACCAUGCCAUUGCACUGCAGCCUGGGCGACAGGAUGAAACUCCAUCUCCAAAAAAUAAACAAAAAAAAUCACAGUGCCUUUGCAUGGUAGUUAAUGGACUAGAUGGACUGUUGCUGGAGAAAUAUUCUUAGUACAGAACCAAGAUUGCAUUUUGCUGUAGGUAGAUACAAUUAAAUUAUGCAUGCUGGAUAAAAGAAAACAAGUACCUGGUCUCCUGAGUUUACUUGGGAGUGUCAUGGUGCUGGCUCAUGUACUAAGCCAGCUGAAUCAUUGUCCAAAGAAUGGGUGCCCUCUGUCAUGUGAGAAUAUUCCAUUUAUGUUUACAUUGAAAUUUCAUUAACUUCAUGAUUUUUUUUUCUCUUCUUGCCCUUUGUCCUAGAUUGGCUCUUACAGAUAAGUGGCCCUUAGUGGCAAAGUCUGAGUUGAGGCAGUUAUGACUAUAUUGGAUGUUCGAUGCUGUGAAACAGAUCACCACAAAAUUCAUGGGCUUAACACAGCAAAUAUGGAUGAUCUCACAUGUUUCUGAGGGUUGGGAACUCAGGAGCAGCUUUGCUGGGUGGUCCUGGCUCAGGGUGUCAGCCAGAGCCGUGUCACCUGAAGGCUUGACUGGGCUUGGAGGAUCUGCCUCCAAGGUGGUGCUGUCACCUGACUGUGGGCAUGGACAUCUCCAUGGGGCUGCUUGUAUGUCCUCAUGACAUUCAAGAGCGAGUGGUCCAAGAGAGCUGGUGAGGCAAGUGACACUGGCUUUUAUCCCUAGACUCAGGAGCUUUGUGCUGUUCCUCCACAUUCUGUUGGUUAUGAAAGCCACCCUGGUGGAGUGUUGAGGGACCUGCACAGGGCAUGGGUACCAGGAGAUGAGGACUGGGGCAUCUGGGAGGCUGGCUGCCCCACCGAUGACCUAAUUUCCUAAUUUCCAUUGCCUAAUGCUCAACAGGUGCUUCCAGAACAAUAGUGUGAGAAGCACCGCUGCCUUCUGCCCCCACCUUUUGUUUUGAGAUCUUGGUAAUGAAAGUGUAGCUAGUUGCUUAUUAAUUUCACUCUUAAAUAUUUUUCACAUUCACAGAUCGGGUGCUACCAAGGUUUUGCUUUUGCAUGGAAAUGUCUACUGCACAGUUGCACCACUGAGAAGGACAGCAGAAAGAUGAAGGUCUUAGAAUCAUUGAUUGGAAUGAUCCAGAAAUUCCCUUAUGAUGACCCUACUUAUGAUAAACUCCAUGAAGACUUAGACAAGAUCAGAGGAAAAUUUAAACAGUUUUGUUCGUUACUCAACGUUCAGCCAGACUUUAAAAUUAGUGCAGAAGGUUCCGGACUUUCAUUUUGAGGAGGAUGGAUGAACAGAGACCGAACGUCGAGAAACAGAUGUGUGUGUGACGUGUUUAGAAAUGCGGUGAAGGGCCAGACGGUGCUGGGAAGGCAGUUGUUCAGUGGGAGGGUGAGGGUUCCGGUUCGGCCGUGGGAGGGCUUCCUUCCCUGGGGUUUUCUGCCCGUGUCACCUUGGUGCCCGCCUUGGGGCCUCUCCACACACGCCCUUUGUUGGGCUGAAGCCAUCCCUGGCAGAGCCCUCGUGCAUUGACUUGACGGCCUCUCCAGCAGCACAGGCCUAGCUGGUUCUGGGUUGGGGUUGGCUCUGGAUAGGGUCAGUCACCAGGCCUGGACUGAAGGCAGUUGUUUUUAUUAUUAUUAUUAUUUUUUUUUGCAAUGAGAGAGAUGGUUGGCCCUGAAUGAGGCUCAUGGGAGGUUUGGACGGGUGCUGUGCCGCAUGUCGAGGCCGAUUGUGUGCCAGGCGCUGCGGGACGUGCCUCCCGUGUGUUAUUUAAUCCCUUCAGGAGCCCACAAGAUGGGUGUUAUUCUCAUUUUACAGAGGAGGAAGGGGAGACGCGAAGGGAUUGCCUGGUCUAAGGGCACCCAGCAGCAGAGCUAGGACUUCCGCCCUAAGGCUGUGCCUCACUGCCACCAGGCACAGCCGCCUCCGGAAUGCACAGGCGAGUCCCUAUCCUCCCUCCCAGGCCACAUGGGUCCUGCUGAGCCUCACGGAGCACAGGGGAGUCCGUAGUGGCCAGUUUGCCUGGGCAUCUGGCUGAGAGGAAGAAAGGCCAGCCUGAUCCUGAGGGGACCCAGACAUAUCCUUUGCACUGUCCCUAGAGGGGCGAUGAGCUUUGCAGCAUUAAAAAAUGGUGAAGGGGGGAAAUAUUUUGAACCAAAGACCAAAUGUUAGGCCGCCGUUACAUUUGCAGAAGCUUUGAGAACCAUGCGUACAGCCUCCUGCAUUCUCCCCUCUCCUAGGAGCUCUUUUGUCUCUGUCCUUACGAGGCAUCAUACAGAGGCAGUGGGGUGGGCACAGAUGAGCGGAGUGGAUGGUUCAGUGGGUCCCCACGAGGCGAGUGGUGGUCAUAUGUGAUGGCACAUGUUCACACACCCUCCUGUGUACACCCCAGGGUCACCGAAGUCCCCACACGCUGGCUCUCCACACCCCUCCUGUUCCAGAAAGCAUGUCGGAAAGCAGUCCAGGAGAUUAUUAAGGGGUCGCCAUGAAUCCACUUCGGUUUUAAAACCAUUCCCGAACAUCCUAGUGGAUUGUGCUGUGCUGCCUAAGCUGCUGGCUGCAGGAGCCAGAGAAGUGACCCCCGCGGGAGCAGCGGCAGGUGGACCUCCACGGUAGCUCGCUUUGUUUUUGUUUUGUUUUUUCUUUUAAGACGGAGUCUCACUCUGUCGCUGAGGCUGGAGUGUAUUGGCGCGAUCUCGGCUCACUGUAACCUCCGCCUCCUGAAUUCAAGUGAUUCUCCUGCCUCAGCCUCCCUAGUAGCUGGGAUUACAGGCGCCCCCCACCAUGCCCAAGUAACUUUUGUAUUUUUAGUAGAGAUGGGGUUUUGCCUUGUUGGCCAGGCCGGUCUUGAACUCCCAGCCUGAAAUGAUCCACCUGCCUCCAUCUACCAAAGUGCUGCAAUUGCAGGCAUGAGCCACCACUCCCGGCCUGCUUUUUGUUUUUGAAGACAGGACUUAGGUCUCCUCCUCCCGAACUCUAAACCUGCGUGUGUGGCUGUGCACCGCUCGUUUGUAGCCUCACCUCAGGUCUGGGGAAGUCUGCGCUGGCAUCUCCUCAUUGUGCCUUCAUCAGAGCUGGUGCCUUCGGGCCAGAAAGACUCUCAUUCUUUCUAGAUGGUGGGAUCAGGGGCCUUUGCUGUGUUUCCCUUGGUGGAUUUUUGUGUUUGUAAGUUGUCUAUUUUGAUAAUGUAUUAUUUUUAUAACUGGAGAAAAAGUAAAUAGCAUAUUUUAAAGUG